UCUGUUAUCGCGCGCUUGGGCUGCCUCGCGCCGGCGCGCCUGGCUACGCAGCUACGGCGCGGUACAUUCAACUCUCAGCGAAGCAGAUGUGCAUGACACAAGCAAUAUGCUGGCGAUAACCUUUGGAACAAUCUACAAAUCACGGAAGGCGGCUUCUCCCGAGAAAGCCUCUUAAUGCGGAAAAGCCUGCUUUGGUGAAUGCCUUUUCUGAAAGACAAGCCCAAGACUGGCGUCGCAUACAAACCAAUUCAUGCCCACACCUAAACCUCUUACACAAGAAGCACCCGACAUAUUACACGGACGCCUGCCCGUGGUGCGGUGCAGAACCCACGCUGGACCACACAACGUGGGAAUGUACGGCUCGGCCAAGGAACGUCAACUCACCUUUUCUAAGCGUCACGGACUUCGUACGGCAGUGCGAGGCACUACUACGGGUAGCCAAUUGGCCCUCCUGGACCAAGCUCUGCGAGCCGCAAGAGCCAGUGGAGCCCUGGACUAAGGGCCCCACCCAGACCUGCCAUAACUCCGAUUAACUGAUCAAUAAAGUUUUCUCUCUCUUGAAUGAAUGAAAAAAGAAAAAUAAAAGAAAUAAAAGAAAAACUGUCCCACUGUGGUUCUAAAAAGAAAUAUUUUCUGCUUCUCUCCCUUUCUUCAAAAACUUCAAUGAUUGAAGCCAAGUUUACCUUCAACGUGAUUGCAAUACAAUGCUACAAAGAGGAGCAACUCAAUUCUUCUUUUAGGAAACACAGUAGUCACAGCUCUACAGCUGUCUUGGUUCGGUUUCCUUCCAGACCCUGACCCGAGCUACUGCGCCAGGCAAUCUAU